UACGUAGGGUGCAAGCGUUAAUCGGAAUUACUGGGCGUAAAGCGUGCGUAGGUGGUGAGUUAAGUCUGUCGUGAAAGCCCCGGGCUCAACCUGGGAAUGGCGAUGGAUACUGGCUCGCUAGAGUGCGGUAGAGGAGAGUGGAAUUCCCGGUGUAGCAGUGAAAUGCGUAGAGAUCGGGGAGGAACAUCAGUUGCGAAGGCGGCUCUCUGGACCAGCACUGACACUGAGGCACGAAAGCGUGGGGAGCAAACAGG
rnacentral:rRNA from 1 species